rnacentral:lncRNA from 1 species
UGUCCAUGGGCCCAAUGUGAAGCAGAGAAACCUCUGGGUGGCAGCUAAGUGGGGGACAGAGCCAGUGGUGGUCAGCGUUUCCCCUCCUCUAGGCCAUAAAGGACUCAGAGGCCCAAGUGGACAGGCUGCGGCAGGAGGCACAGAAGGCGGGAGAGAUGCUGGCCAUGGCCAGGCUGGAGCUGCGGGAACAGACGCAGGAGGGUGGGCAGGGCUCUGCUGCAGCCUGUGGCUGGAGAGGGGAGGCCCAGGGAGGGUGCUGGACACCAGGAUCUCUGCGGGCUGCACCCUGACCUCCCCCACAGAGGAGGAGGAAGCGCCUGGACUCCAGUGUCAGGCCACGGAUCUCCAUGACGUGCUGAUGAAGGACGUGGGUGACCGCAUCUGUGCUGACGGCCGGUCAGUGCUGUCUGGGCAUGGGUAAGUUGGGGUGUGCUCACCUGAUGAUGACCCAGUGGCUGCCCCCAGGUGGCCUCUUGACAUCGACCCUUCGGGCCAGGCAGCCACCUUCCUGCGCUACCAGGGUACCAACUAUGGGGAUGCUGUGAACCCAGAGCACCUGAGGCCUGAGAGAAUCCGACUGGCUCUGCUGGGGGCACUCAGGUGAGGCAGGGAGGGGUCAGCCAGGCCAGGCCCUGCCCUGCCCUGCCCAGCACCCCCACAGGCAUGGGAAGCCACUGGUGUUCGACCUGCGGGAGGUGGACCUGUUCCCUGCAGUGCCGCAGCAGCUGGAGGCGGUGCAGCCUGGUCUGGCCCCAGCACGGCUCAGCCGGGAGUUGCUGGCCCAGGACCCCAGGACCCGUACCUCUCCCUGCUGCGGCCCACGGAUGGGCCUGAGUCCGGCCCCACCCAGUUCCAGGAGGCCCGCCUGGCCCACUUUCGUCUCUUCUUCGUCACCCAGGUCCAGUGGCCACCUGUGGAGCAGCUGCAGGUGCUGCUCCCUGUGCGGGUACAGGUGCCCCACUAAUGCAGCACCCCAAUAAAACCUGCCCAGGGCAACACGUCUGUGACUGUGAGCAGGAAGGUUUCGCCCCAGCCAGUCUGGAACCCUGCUAGAAAACAUGGGGGGAGGACCCUACGUGGGACAGGCAGGCAGGUACCUCAGCAGGGAGGACAUGCAUGGGCAGGC